GACUCUGGGUCCGGACUGGAGCUCCUAAUGCACCGCAGGACCCCGGCAGCUGGGCACUCCCCCCCAGAGCCUUCUCUGCAGUCAUCACAGGCUACGUGCAGACGGGUCACACAAGCGAUUCAAUUGUACAAAUCAAGCACAACAACAAGGACAGAGGAAUACUGCAGAGGAGGCCCAGAAUGAAACAGAAGAAAAGCUGAAAAUCACAGAGGCGAUGCUACCAGCCGGCCACAGCACUUAGUACAGAGCACGUUUCGCCUUAAGGGGGGCUUGGCACUAUAGCUGGGCUGUGCUCUUGACAUCUUUCGAUUGAACUGUCAGCUCCAGUCACUGCUGGUCAUCUAAAUGCACACAGGUUUAGAGAACAAGCAGCGUAUAAUUCCACACUGAAAACUAACAAGAAAAGUGAAAAAACUAUGUUUCGGUCGUGGAUGCUUGGGGGAACGCAGAAGAGUACAGGAAUACUAUGCUAAGGGGAGCUGGGAAGACAAAAGACAGGCUAACGAGACGAGACUGGGUCAUACCAAGAGGAAAUGGUGCUGAAGAGCCAAGAUGGAGACCAUCCGGAAACUGUGGCCACAAGCUCAAACAUCCGGGUGGAAACAUUCUCCCUCCACAUUCCCAGACGUCAAUGUGAAUUUGUUUACUGACGAAAGACGUGGGUUCAAGGCUCGAUUUUGAAAUACGGUAAUUAUCUCGCAUCAUACUGUUAUCGAUAAAUCUACAUUGCACAAUAUCGAGCACAACAUAAAUGUCUGGGAACCGAAUGAAUUCAUUUAGUUUCUCCUCGGACGACGUUUCGCAGACACUCGCGUGUAAAAUUCUGCAAAUGGCAAAAAAAAACUCCUAACAUGACCCGAAUAGCUGCGGACCCUUUCCUUCCCAGGUUUUUUCGAGCACUGUCUUUUAAGAAUGUUUUGCCUGCGACGUCUGCCACAAAAUCCAGGAGAACAGCAUGUAAUAAAGAAUAAAAUCUCAAGAA